rnacentral:rRNA from 1 species
GAUGAACGCUGGCGGCGUGCCUAAUACAUGCAAGUCGAGCGAACGGACGAGAAGCUUGCUUCUCUGAUGUUAGCGGCGGACGGGUGAGUAACACGUGGAUAACCUACCUAUAAGACUGGGAUAACUUCGGGAAACCGUAGCUAAUACCGGAUAAUAUUUUGAACCGCAUGGUUCAAAAGUGAAGGACGGUCUUGCUGUCACUUAUAGAUGGAUCCGCGCUGCAUUAGCUAGUUGGUAAGGUAACGGCUUACCAAGGCAACGAUGCAUAGCCGACCUGAGAGGGUGAUCGGCCACACUGGAACUGAGACACGGUCCAGACUCCUACGGGAGGCAGCAGUAGGGAAUCUUCCGCAAAGGGCGAAAGCCUGACGGAGCAACGCCGCGUGAGUGAUGAAGGUCUUCGGAUCGUAAAACUCUGUUAUUAGGGAAGAACAUAUGUGUAAGUAACUGUGCACAUCUUGACGGUACCUAAUCAGAAAGCCACGGCUAACUACGUG